UAGAUUCUCAUGAUGCAGUUUUGAGAUUUAACUCUGCUCCUACACGUGGCUAUGAGAAAGAUGUUGGAAAUAAAACCACUGUGCGCAUCAUUAAUUCCCAGAUUCUGACCAACCCCAACCAUCACUUCAUUGACAGCUCAUUAUAUAAAGAUGUCAUUUUGGUGGCCUGGGACCCUGCUCCUUAUUCUGCAAAUCUUAAUCUGUGGUACAAGAAGCCAGAUUACAACCUGUUCACUCCAUAUGUUCAGCACCGUCAGAGAAACCCAAAUCAGCCAUUUUACAUUCUUCAUCCAAAAUUUAUAUGGCAGCUUUGGGACAUUAUCCAGGAGAACACCAAGGAGAAGAUUCAGCCCAACCCACCAUCUUCCGGCUUCAUUGGAAACCAUCCUCAGGAAUAUUCAAGCAGAUGGGUCAGCCAACAUCUCCCAUUCUAAAAGCA